rnacentral:rRNA from 1 species
CGAACGGGUGAGUAAUGCGUGACCAACCUGCCCCAUGCUCCAGAAUAGCUCUUGGAAACGGGUGGUAAUGCUGGAUGCUCCAACUUGACGCAUGUCUUGUUGGGAAAGUGUUUAGUGGCAUGGGAUGGGGUCGCGUCCUAUCAGCUUGUAGGCGGGGUAAUGGCCCACCUAGGCUUCGACGGGUAGCCGGCCUGAGAGGGCGGACGGCCACAUUGGGACUGAGAUACGGCCCAAACUCCUACGGGAGGCAGCAGUC